GUUGGGUUGGCCGAGCGGUUUAAGGCGUCGGAUUCUGGAUCCGAGCCCCUCUGGGGUCGCAGGUUCGAAUCCUGCACCUGACG